rnacentral:rRNA from 1 species
CGUAGGUGACAAGCGUUGUCCGGAAUUAUUGGGCGUAAAGGGAGCGCAGGCGGUUGGAAUAGUCUGAUGUGAAAGCCCACGGCUUAACCGUGGAAGGUCAUUGGAAACUGUCCAACUUGAAUGCAGAAGAGGUAAGUGGAAUUCCAAGUGUAGCGGUGAAAUGCGUAGAUAUUUGGAGGAACACCAGUGGCGAAGGCGACUUACUGGUCUGUGAUUGACGCUGAGGCUCGAAAGCGUGGGUAGCAAACAGGAUU